rnacentral:rRNA from 1 species
CCUACGGGUGACAGCAGUGAGGAAUAUUGGUCAAUGGACGAGAGUCUGAACCAGCCAAGUAGCGUGAAGGAUGACUGCCCUAUGGGUUGUAAACUUCUUUUAUAUGGGAAUAAAAUGUUCCACGUGUGGGAUUUUGUAUGUACCAUAUGAAUAAGGAUCGGCUAACUCCGUGCCAGCAGCCGCGGUAAUACGGAGGAUCCGAGCGUUAUCCGGAUUUAUUGGGUUUAAAGGGAGCGUAGGUGGAUUGUUAAGUCAGUUGUGAAAGUUUGCGGCUCAACCGUAAAAUUGCAGUUGAAACUGGCAGUCUUGAGUACAGUAGAGGUGGGCGGAAUGCGUGGUGUAGCGGUGAAAUGCUUAGAUAUCACGAAGAACUCCGAUUGCGAAGGCAGUUCACUGGACUGCAACUGACACUGAGGCUCGAAAGUGUGGGUAUCAAACAGGAUUAGAUACCCGUGUAGUC